UAGCCAAAAAUCAUAUCCUCCAUACCAUAACGAAACAUGUGGAAAUUGAUUACUACUACACUAGGGAGAAAGUACUAGCUAAGAUAGUGGCUGUUCUUUUUGUAUGCACACAGAAUCAAAUUGCAGAUAUCUGCAGCAAAGCAUUGUCCAAGUCAAGACUCAUUCUUCUCAAAGACGAACUUUCUCUUUAAUUACCUCAGCUUAUUUUGAGGGGGAUAAUAAGGGUGCGUUUGGUACGUGGGACGAGAAGGGACGGAACGGAACGAGGCGUUCCGUCCUGCGUUUGGUACGCCAAAAAUGGGUGGAACGCGCUGUUCCACGGGACAAAAAUUGGGUGUUUUUGCAUCCGCCUCCCCCCUGGAACGGGUUGUUCCAUGUAUGUGGAACACAAAAAUUCCACUGUCUACCCUCCCUCUCUCUCCCGCAGCCUCCCUCUCCCGUAGCUUCGUUACCCUCAAUCUCCCCUGUAGCCUCCUCCUACACCACAAACCCAGCAACCCAAAUGCUUCGUUACCCAAACGUAGCUUCGUUACCCAGCAACCCAGAUGAAUUCGAGCUCGAUUUCGGGCUUUCCGAGCUGAGUCGGAGACGAAUCCGUCGAAAUACUGGCGAAAUAGACCGAAACGUAGUCGAUAAAUUGGUUUUGAAAAUAAAUUGGGAAUAAAUUUAGUCCCCUCGCUCUCGGUAUCACCCAUUGAAGCAGGUUUUCGCACUCUGCAGCUAAACAAUGGGUUUGGGCGGGACGACCUUGCAAACCGUGAAGCUCGCCCUAAUUCCUCCACCUUCAUUUUCUUCUUCUUUCCGCUCCGUUUUCCCAAACCUUUCUCUGCUGCCAUAGCCGCAUACAAAGACUUCCACUUCCUCCGCCCUUCUUCGUCAGAGGCCUUUCAACCCUGGCCGCACAGGUAACUGCCACCGCAUCCCCAAAAGAAACAAGCCUAGAUGAAAAGGGUGUGAAGCAGCAAUGGAAAGCAGCGACAGACUUCAAAUGGAUAAGGGACAACAAGGAUAUCCUCUUUCAAUGGUUCUGAUUGGCAAAUUUUUGGACUGGGCAAUUUUUGUUGAAGGGGGUUAGCACGGUUGUAGUGGAAUUUGGAUUUGAUUUUCUGUUUGCAAAAUUUGUUUUUAUUUUUUACUCUUUACUUUUAAGAUGGUGUGCUUUAA